AGCAACAGUCGUGACUGGCGUGCUCGGGUGGAAGUGACCACCGGGGAGCGACGAAUCUGCUGGCGGUGCCGCGCGCCUGGGCACUCCGA
rnacentral:ncRNA from 2 species